UGUAUGCUUGUCAAGAGCAGGGCUCAUUAGCCACCAACGGAACCGCAAAGGCAAAAUAUAAGUUAGUCCUAGAGCGCACAAUGUUCCUGAAAGUUGGCAAUGGUCUUCCUUGGUCACGAGUGGAUGGCCAUCAUCAUGUAUAUAUGUAUGUAUG